rnacentral:rRNA from 1 species
AGAAUCAACGCUGGCGGCGUGCCUAACACAUGCAAGUCGAACGCGAAAGGGGAGCAAUCCCUGAUUAGAGUGGCAAACGGGUGAGUAACACGUGGGUGACCUGCCUUCGAGUGGGGGAUAACCUUCCGAAAGGAGGGCUAAUACCGCAUGACAUACCGUGUUUGGAUACACGGAUAUCAAAGCCGGGGAUCGCAAGACCUGGCGCUUGGAGAGGGGCCCGCGUCCGAUUAGCUAGUUGGUGAGGUAACGGCUCACCAAGGCUCCGAUC